GCCCAGCUAUGAGAGAUUAGUUCUUUUUUAUUCUUAUAAACUUAUUUGAAAAAGGAAUAUAUAUAUAUAUAUACAUCCUCUGUCCAUGCAAUUGAGUGGAUCAGUUCUUUCACCGAGAUCGAGAAUAUUGACCUGUCAAAUAACAUCGACAAGAGUAGUUACUAGACAUACAGCAAGCACGUAUAUAUCAGGAAUACCAAUCGACCCAAUCUAACGUCUACAUACUCCGCAUAUGUGAGGUACAAUAAAUGGUAGGGUAGUGGUAUCGGUAGUGUUCAGAGAGACUGGCACUGUAACUAACGCCAAGAUGCGGAACAGCAAGUUCAAGUGGAAAAAGGAAGCAGUAAAUGUAAUAAAGA
rnacentral:sRNA from 1 species